rnacentral:rRNA from 1 species
UGCCAGCAGCCGCGGUAAUACGGAGGGUGCGAGCGUUGUUCGGAAUCAUUGGGCGUAAAGCGCGUGUAGGCGGCUUGUCAAGCCGGAUGUGAAAUCCCGGGGCCCAACCCCGGAACUGCAUUCGAAACUGCCUCGCUAGAGUCUCGGAGAGGAAGGCGGAAUUCCCGGUGUAGAGGUGAAAUUCGUAGAUAUCGGGAGGAACACCAGUGGCGAAGGCGGCCUUCUGGACGAUGACUGACGCUGAGACGCGAAAGCGUGGGUAGCGAACGGGAUUAGAUA